rnacentral:rRNA from 1 species
CUAGGAAUUUCGCGCAAUGGGCGAAAGCCUGACGCAGCAACGCCGCGUGGGGGAAGAAGGCCCUCGGGUCGUAAACCCCUUUUCUGAGGGAAGAAGUUCUGACGGUACCUCAGGAAUAAGCCACGGCUAACUACGUGCCAGCAGCCGCGGUAAUACGUAGGUGGCAAGCGUUGUCCGGAUUUAUUGGGCGUAAAGCGCACGCAGGCGGUUCGUUAAGUCUGGGGUGAAAUCUCUCGGCUCAACUGGGAGAGGUCUCUGGAUACUGGCGAACUUGAGUGCAUCAGAGGAGAGUGGAAUUCCCGGUGUAGUGGUGAAAUGCGUAGAUAUCGGGAGGAACACCAGUGGCGAAGGCGGCUCUCUGGGGUGUUACUGACGCUGAGGUGCGAAAGCGUGGGGAGCGAACCG